GAUGAACGCUGGCGGCGUGCCUAAUACAUGCAAGUCGAGCGAAUGGAUUAAGAGCUUGCUCUUAUGAAGUUAGCGGCGGACGGGUGAGUAACACGUGGGUAACCUGCCCAUAAGACUGGGAUAACUCCGGGAAACCGGGGCUAAUACCGGAUAACAUUUUGAACCGCAUGGUUCGAAAUUGAAAGGCGGCUUCGGCUGUCACUUAUGGAUGGACCCGCGUCGCAUUAGCUAGUUGGUGAGGUAACGGCUCACCAAGGCAACGAUGCGUAGCCGACCUGAGAGGGUGAUCGGCCACACUGGGACUGAGACACGGCCCAGACUCCUACGGAAGGCAGCAGUAGGGGAUCUUCCGCAAUGGACGAAAGUCUGACGGAGCAACGCCGCGUGAGUGAUGAAGGCUUUCGGGUCGUAAAACUCUGUUGUUAGGGAAGAACAAGUGCUAGUUGAAUAAGCUGGCACCUUGACGGUACCUAACCAGAAAGCCACGGCUAACUACGUGCCAGCCGCCGCUGUAA
rnacentral:rRNA from 1 species